CACAGCCGCCAGGGGUGUUGGCAAACCGACCUGAUCCUGUUCCGCGUUCCUACAAAAUCCAAUCGUCAGUCUUACACAAACACCUCAAAAAAUUUAAGAGAGAGAAGAUUCACCCGAACCUUUUCCUCCACCAAACCGCCAAAAUCUAUAUAGAGAAUGGGAGAAAAUACAAAAUCAGAAAUCCUCACAACGUCCCCUAGGCUUGUCAUCUGCAUCGGUGACAUCCAUGGGUACAUAUCCAAGCUCCGAAACUUGUGGGCCCACCUCCAAUCCACCAUCCCCCCACCUUCUUUCCGGUCUGCCCUCAUCAUCUUCCUUGGCGACUACUGUGACCGCGGCCCCGACACCCGUGGUGUCCUCGACUUCCUCAUCUCCCUCCCAGACCGAUUCCCUGCUCAGUCCCACGUCUUCCUCUGCGGGAACCAUGACCUCGCGUUUGCCGCCUUCGUCGGGGCACUUCCGACCCCGCCCGACGGGUCCCCGUUCUCCGCUACAUGGCCGGAGUAUGAAGUGAAUGAGGAGAGGGAGGGGUGGUUUAAGGGGGACGGGUACGAGCGGAUGCAUGUGCAAGGGAGGAGAUGGGGUGGGUCGAUCAAGGCCAGUUUUAAUGAGAAGAAGGGGAUUGAGUAUAAGGGCUCGAUCUAUGAUGCAGGUCCUACCUUUGAGUCCUAUGGCGUCCCGCAUGGAUCGGCAGACUUGGCCAAAGCAGUCCCUGAGGAACACAAGAAGUUUCUCGCAGACUUGGUUUGGGUCCAUGAAGAGGAAAAUGUUUGGAUAGAAAGUUCGGAAGGAAUGCGUUGCUGUAAAUUGAUCGCUGUUCAUGCAGGCUUGGAGAAAACAAAAGGAGUCGAGGAGCAGCUGAAACUUUUGAAAGCUCGGGACACGAGCUUGCCAAAGGUGGAAGCACUCAGCGGGAGGCAAAAUGUUUGGGAAAUCCCGAAAUAUGCUCUUACGCAGUCUUUAUCACUGACCAGGCACUAAAGAUCGGCUACCUUACAGUGGUUUAGCAGAGGCUUCUCUCUUGACAUUGAGGGCGCAGGUCUUCGAGGCUUCCGCCUCAACACAAUGCUGUUUAUUAUUAUUAUUAUUGCCUCUUGUUAUUUUGCAGUUUUCAAGCUGAAUAGCAAAGGUUCCAGCAAAGACAAUCUCUUGUUGGCUGGUUUUGGCAGGGUUUUCUCAGGGACUCUGGCAUGCAUGUUUUGGUGUCCUACAAUGGCUCACUCAAAGAGACCAAACCCAAUUGCUUGAGAUCCAGGCACUUGAUAUGGGCCUACGACAUACUCAUAAUACCACUGUGGGUCCAGCUGGUGGAGUAUUGUGGGUUACUUUCACAAUGCCAUCACUUAGGCACUGUUUGGCAAGACACCUAAGAAUGAGUUCAGCUCGUUUUAGUUAACAGCAAUUUUGGAGAAGAGAUCUUAAUCUCUAAUACAUAAUGAGUUCAUUUUAACAGUAAUUAUGUAUUAAAGAUCAAGAUCUCUAAUACGUGAACUAAAUUGAGAUGAAUUCAUUGCUAGGCAUCUACUUAACAGGCCCUAUUUUGGGCCUCUUGUUCAUAAACAAGCAGGGCUCGGAACCAGCCUAGGAUUGGCAUUAUUUUCUUUUGAAGCAGCCUGGCUGGGUGUGAGAAAAUCUGCACGAUUAUUGUAUCUGAUGAAUUUUCAGUCUUUGGCAGAAAAAGGGUUCAGGCGUGCUAAUUUGCAUUUUGGUUACAUUUGUUUGCAGUUUUCUGCGAUGUUCCUCCUGCCCAAAUCAUCCAAACAUAAUAAAAUGGGACAUGUUCAUUUUUCACACAACCACAAUUUAGGGAACUCUCAGAGAAGCCUACGAUAGUGGUCAGUGGCCACCAUGGGAAACUCCACAUUGAUGGUUUGAGGCUGAUUAUUGAUGAAAGUGGCGGGUUAGCACAACUACCAGUGGCUGCUAUCGUACUUCCUCAAAAGUGC